rnacentral:rRNA from 1 species
CCUACGGGUGGCUGCAGUAGGGAAUUUUGCACAAUGGACGCAAGUCUGAUGCAGCAACACUGCGUGAAGGAUGAAGGUUUUCGGAUCGUAAACUUCUUUUAUCAGGGAAUAAUCAUGAAGGUACCUGAUGAAUAAGCACCGGCUAACUACGUGCCAGCAGCCGCGGUAAUACGUAGGGUGCAAACAUUAUCCGGAUUUAUUGGGCGUAAAGAGCUCGUAGGUGGUUUUGAAAGUCUGAUAUGAAAGACUCCGGCUCAACUGGAGGAACGUAUCGGAAACUUCAUUACUUGAGGUAUACAGGGGAAGAUGGAACUCAUAGUGUAGCAGUGAAAUGCGUAGAUAUUAUGAGGAACGCCAAUGGUGAAGACAGUCUUCUGGGUAUAUCCUGACACUGAGGAGCGAAAGCGUGGGGAGCAAACGGGAUUAGAUACCCCUGUAGUC